ensembl:snRNA U6 U6 spliceosomal RNA
GUGCUCACUUCAACAGCACCUACACUAAAAUUGGAAUAAUACACAGAAUGUCAGCAUGGCCCCUGCGCAAGGACGACACACAAAUGUGUGCAGUGUUUUGUAUUUGU